rnacentral:rRNA from 1 species
CCUACGGGAGGCAGCAGUGGGGAAUCUUGCGCAAUGGGCGAAAGCCUGACGCAGCAACGCCGCGUGCGGGAAGAAGGCUUUCGGGCUGUAAACCGCUUUCAGCAGGAACGAAAAUGACGGUACCUGCAGAAGAAGGAGCGGCCAACUAUGUGCCAGCAGCCGCGGUGAUACAUAGGCUUCAAGCGUUGUCCGGAUUUAUUGGGCGUAAAGAGUUCGUAGGCGGUCAAGUAAGUCGGGUGUGAAAAUUCUGGGCUCAACCCAGAGACGCCACCCGAUACUGCUUAACUCGAGUUCGAUAGGGGAGUGGGGAAUUCCUAGUGUAGCGGUGAAAUGCGCAGAUAUUAGGAGGAACACCGGUGGCGAAGGCGCCACUCUGGAUCGAUACUGACGCUGAGGAACGAAAGCAUGGGUAGCAAACAGGAUUAGAUACCCUGGUAGUCCAUGCCGUAAACGGUGGGCACUAGGUGUGGGUUUCUAUUAACGAAAUCCGCGCCGUCGCUAACGCAUUAAGUGCCCCGCCUGGGGAGUACGGUCGCAAGACUAAAACUCAAAGGAAUUGACGG